rnacentral:rRNA from 1 species
GGAGGAAAAGAAACUAACAAGGAUUCCCCUAGUAACUGCGAGUGAAGCGGGAAAAGCUCAAAUUUAAAAUCUGGUAGUCUUUGGCUGCCCGAGUUGUAAUCUAGAGAAGCGUUAUCCGCGCUGGACCGUGUAUAAGUCUCCUGGAAUGGAGCGUCAUAGAGGGUGAGAAUCCCGUCUUUGACACGGACUCCCAGGGCUUUGUGAUGCGCUCUCAACGAGUCGAGUUGUUUGGGAAUGCAGCUCUAAAUGGGUGGUAAAUUCCAUCUAAAGCUAAAUAUUGGCGAGAGACCGAUAGCGAACAAGUACCGUGAGGGAAAGAUGAAAAGAACUUUGGAAAGAGAGUUAAACAGUACGUGAAAUUGUUGAAAGGGAAACGCUUGAAGUCAGUCGCAUUGGCCAGGGAUCAACCUUGCUUUCUGCUUGGUGUACUUUCUGGUUAAUGGGUCAGCAUCAAUUUUGACCAGUGGAAAAAGGUCGAGGGAAUGUGGCAUCUUCGGAUGUGUUAUAGCCUUCAGCCGUAUACAUUGGUUGGGAUUGAGGAACUCAGCACGCCGCAAGGCCGGGUUUUUAACCACGUUCGUGCUUAGGAUGCUGGCAUAAUGGCUUUAAUCGACCCGUCU